GGUAAUGAGCUUGUAUUAUGACUCAAUAGCAUCACUUUAUCACUUUAACACAGAUGGAGGCCUAAAUAACCAUAGGGCAAUGCUUCUUCUUAGAUGCAGAGGGACACAUUUAUAUAAUCUUAGGGACCCCGUCUCUGAGGUCACUCAUAAUUUAUAUUAAUUCAUUGUUAUUGCCAUUGUCCCAAGAAUAGAUAAGGAUAAGACAUGCUGUAGUAUAGGUAGCAGAGAUAUAAACUAUUCUUAUUCUUGUGUCUUGUCUAUAGGAAGGGAGUGUAUCCUGGUGUAUGACAGCAUAUAGUAGAGACCAUUGUCAGUUAGAGCCUGUGAACUGAGACAGGGUGACUGGCUAAGUCCACAACCCAUUAGAAACCCAGAAAUAAUCAAAUCAUGAGGGAUCAUGGAAAGGAAGCUGAAUUUGCUGAGUUUUGCCACAUGGGCAUUGUAUGCCUAUGUGAUUAACCACCAAUAAAAACCUGGGACAUCAAAGGAUAAAUA
rnacentral:lncRNA from 1 species